rnacentral:tRNA from 1 species
UGCCGGAUAGUUCAGUUGGCAGAACGACACACUCUGGAUGUGUAGGUCCAAGGUUCGAAUCCUUGUCCGGCAG